rnacentral:misc_RNA from 1 species
GUACAUGAAAGAAUUUUACAAGGCAUUUCUUGAUGUAUAUACAGAAAUUGAAGAAAACAUGAUCAAACAGGGAAGAUUAUACCGUUUCUAUUAUGCAAAAGAAGCAGUAAGUAUUAGGCAGGCGAAUAUAUAGUUGAAACCCCAUAAUUCAUAGUAAUUAUGUGGGGUGUGAAAUAUUGAUUAUUUGUUUAAGAAGGCGUGCAAUUCCCUUGUUUGGCAGAUGAAAAAACAAGUUAGAGCUUACUUCAUUGAAUCCAAAUGGUUCCACCAGAAAUACAUACCGACGAUGGAGGAGUACAUGUCCAUCGCAUUAGUU